rnacentral:rRNA from 1 species
UACAGAGGUCUCAAGCGUUGUUCGGAUUCAUUGGGCGUAAAGGGUGUGUAGGUGGCGCCGUAAGUGGGGUGUGAAAUUUCGGAGCUUAACUCCGAAACUGCAUUCCAUACUGCGGUGCUUGAGGACUGGAGAGGAGACUGGAAUUUACGGUGUAGCAGUGAAAUGCGUAGAUAUCGUAAGGAAGACCAGUGGCGAAGGCGGGUCUCUGGACAGUUCCUGACGCUGAGGCACGAAGGUCAGGGGAGCAAACGGG